AUGAAAUUAUUUCCUGUGCAAAGCUUCAAUUGUAGGCCCGAACCGAGUACACAUGUUGCUAGUUGCUGCCGUGCUCCAUAUUCUGGAAACUCUGAGCUCGGGACUUGACUUUGAUUCAAUUUCCAUAUGAAAACAUCGAUUUGCGUUUGUGCGCCCGCGUCGUCGUAAUCAAAGUGUUGUUUAUGGAACACGUCCGGCGUGUUUUGCUCUUUUUUGUUGUUGAUUUUUUCUUUUUCAUUUUUCUGGUUGCCGUUGCCUGACUAGUUGUUGCUGUCUCGUUGGCUGGCUAUAAAAAAUUGCUCACGGCAACAAUUGCGCGCGUCGGCUGAGAAAUAUGUAGCAACGAUUACAUUUGCCUAUUGCAUGGAGGGGCCGAAGUCAAAGCCAAAGCCAAAGCCAAAGGCUGGCUAAAAGCAAACGAGUCGGUCCGAAUCCGAGUGCAAGUCCAAGUCCCGAGUUAUGAUUGAGUUCUAAUGAGUUGAGAAAAAUGUAUCAAGGAAAACCAGUUCCCGGAAUCGCAAUUAGAUAAGUGGGUUUAUUCAUGCCACAAACGUGAACUGCAACAAGGAGAGUUGGAUCGAAUCGAAUCGAAUGGAGUGGAGUGGAGUGGGGUGGAGCAAAGUGGAUGGGAGUCGGGAAAUGGAAAUUGUUUCCAUCGAAUGGCCUAGCAAAUGUGUAGCACAUUUUAUAUAAUAAGGCGUUACAAAUAUUUUUCAAUUUCAUUUAUUUUUUUCGGUGGGCAAGAUGAAAAAUGUACCCCUGUCCAGGUGAAAAACUAGUUUAACUGGCUUUGGCAAGGGAUAUGCAAAAUGGAAAUUAUCGAGAAUAUACCAUGGAUAAUGACAGUGCUAUGUGUGCAUAAUCGAAUGAAGCCAUUAGGCUGUCGAGUAAUAAAAUCGCGUACAUUAGGGUGCUGUUUUUGCUCUAGAACUGAGAGCUUAUAAAUAAAUUAAUAAAAAAGCUGGUCGAUUAGAAAGCAUUGAGGAAUUUGUAGAUUCUGCACUACUUUAGGCCUCGAUUGGAAGGCGUGAAAUAUUAAUACGGCUAACACGCCUGGUAGCCAAAGGGAAAGGUCGACCAGCUCCAGCUCCAGUGAUUUUCCAGCGAUAUCUGCCCCGCCACACCAGUUAAUUGCCUCACUUUCUAGCCGUAAAAAUCGACUACGCCCUAAUGUGCGUGCCUUUCCAAUUACCAAGUCCAGGUCGCAGGCCAGUCCAUCAUUAGCCACGUUUGCUAAUGAUUUGGAGCCAACCUAGACCCCGAACCCAUGCCUGGGAACCUGGGAACGAGAACUGUUCCGUGUUUUCGCAUGCAUGUGAUAAUGGUUUUUGGCGGCGCUUUGAGUUCGCCCCGGCCAGCCCAAUGGGACAGCGAACAAGACAAUAAAUCAAUAAUUAUUGCAAAACAACGUUGCAGCCAAAAACAACAAAAAAAAAGAAACACAAAAAGAUAAAUUGCAACGGAGUGCAGUGGACGGGCGGGCGUAUGACUUAAUUUGCCAAUUUGAACGCCAAAGGCUAAAACGUACUUACUGCUUGGCCGAAAAAGGCCAGACAGCUGGCCGAGUUGGUCGCCCGAUCGUUCUAAACGUCAAUUUCCGUGCCGACAGCUCUCGAACUCCGUUGUCUUAUUAAGGCCCAAACGCGUGCGCAGUGCCCAGCGAUCGUAAAGUCGGGCCAAAAGCGAACAGCAGCCUGGAAAAAAUAUAAGAAUUCUAUUAUACCCAUGCCACACAAUGUGAUUAACUUGUUGACCCUGUCGAAAGAGCAAACAAUAAACGUAGGUAUUCUUAUGUA